AGCAAAAUCACCCAUUUUCUCUUCAAAAUCCCACAUUUAAGUGAAAAUCACCCCUUUUCUCUUCAAAAAUCCCCCAUUUAAGUGAAAAUCACCCAUUUUCUCUUCGAAAACUUCCCAUUUAACCCCAAAAUCACCCAUUUUCUCCUCGAAAAUCCCCCAUUUAAGGGUAAAUCAUGCAUUUUCUCUUCGAAAAUCCACAUUUAGCUAAAAAAUCACGCAUUUAAGCGAAAAUCACCCGUUUUCUCUUCAAAAAUCUCCCAUUUAACCCCAAAAUCACCCAUUUUCUCUUCAAAAUUCUCCCAUUUAAGGGUAAAUCAUGCAUUUUCUCUUCGAAAAUCCAACAUUUAGCUAAAAAAAUCACGCAUUUAAACGAAAAUCACCGUUUUCUCUUCAAAACUCUCCCAUUUAACCCAAAAAUCACCCAUUUUCUCUUCAGAAUUCCCCCAUUUAAUCCGAAAAUCAC
rnacentral:lncRNA from 7 species